UUGGAAUAAAACAUCAUUUUCUCUUUUUUUUCCCCAAAAUGUGAGGCACCGAGUUCACUGAGAGAGAAUGAAACCCUAAGUUUUCUACAUAUGCCAUUCUUGCCGCCGUUCUCGCUGCCGUUUCCGCUGCAGGUGCCGUUACCACUUCGGCCGUGUCCAUUGCAGUAGAAAGCUUCUGGAUUGAGCCACAUCUUCUAUCAACGUGUUUUCAGAUCUGUUCUCUCUAUCUAUCAUUGCUGCCACUGUUGCCAUCGCAGUUUGCGCCGCCGUUGCUGCCACAGUUUCUACCAUCGAUGACACCGUAGUUGCUGUAGUAUAAUGCAUUUGCAGAUCUGUUCACUCCUGAGCUUCUUCUUCAACGCUGCUUUCUCUCACUCCAAUUUCCCCUAUAAACUGCCGAUGAUUGCUAAUGGAACAUACUAUACUUCGUCAACGACAAGGAGGACCGGCAGUGAUGGGGUGAUAUUUGAAGUGGCCAAAGAGGCUGAUAGUUCUAUAAGGAAAGUUUCUCACAGAGUUUCCAAAGGCAUUCACUGCAAGGAAUUAGUUCCCAACAUCAAUAAGUAUCAGUCUUUUACUUGGAGUCUUUGAUUGUGAUGAAUUACUACACUACAAUGCGGCAAUGCAAGCGUGGAAGAAGAGAAUAAUGUCGUUCAUGUUGCCUUCCGAUCCGAACACAUGUCUUGGAUGGAAGACAGGCUUCGAUCCUGCAUCCACCAAUUGACAUUUUAGCUUUAUGUUGCUUUUGAUGCAAGUCACAAUUGCUCCCAGAGCUGGUAGGGAAUUGGGUUAUGUGCGGGUGAAGAUGGAUCCUAUCAAAUUUAACGAAGGAAUGCUCAUUCGACAAUCUGUCCUAGAUCAUAUUACCGUUCAACUAGCUCCCCGUGCAGCCGAUGAAAUUUGGUUUGGGAGUGGUCAAGUAAGAUAAAAUUCCCACUUGCUUUCCUUAAGUUUCCUCACUCCUUUUUAUUUUCUUCAUUGGUUCUUUUUGGUUGCUAUUUUAACUUGGUUUACAAUAUUUCGUUGAGUACGAUAUGGGCCGAAACUACAGACAAAGCGAGGUCCGUAGCAAGGAUAUUUAUUCUUGGUGGGCUUUCAGAGAAGCACCAUGGAAUUACCAAUUUCUGGGUGGCAGACCGAAUAAAUGUAUGGGUUCUCUCUCUCAAGAUUUCUUUCAUCUGGUGUACUUGCAUGGCUCCAUAAAACCAAUACUUCCCAGCAUUCUUGACCUUAGAGCUGCCAAGCACAGAGAAUUCCAACAACUUCGUAAUGAUGAAAACCAGACAGCUUUGAAGAGCAACUCUUAAGAAAUGCCACAACCAGUUUUGAGACUAGUUUACUUUAUAGUCAUAUUUAUUGUACCUUAUUCCUGUAGCAUACUGAAAUCUGUGUUGAUUUCCAUUUGAUUUCCUAAUGAAAAUUUUUAAUUGGACUAUAGGAUUUGCUUUUGUAGAUUUAAUUGGGAAAUGUCAGUGCCGAGUGCCAACAAAUACUCUGGUAUGUAGCUCAAACCUCUUGUUUAUUUGUAUUCUCUAAACUCAAACUUAUCAAAUAUGUAUAGGUUGCAAUUUAAUUAUCUGGUCUUUGAAUUUUAUUCCAUUGACUUUGCUAUGAUACUUUUAGCAAUAGUUUUCUCUGCAUGAGGUACCGAGGUUGAAUGCUAAGGCAGUGGAAUCUGAUCCUGGUUUUUUAAUUUCUUUCACUUUAAGCAAAUAAUAUUAAUACCUUUGUAACAUGAGUCAUAGGUUUAUAUAAAACAUUGCUAUUUAAGUGUUUAUCAUUCAAAUAAAUAAAGUAUGCAGAACAAGAAAUCACCAAGUCCUACAAUAUUUACAGUCAACAUGGGGCAAAGAUAAAUUCAAGUUCUAGUAAGACUGGACAUUUUAUGUGAAACUUGAUUAUGGAGAUGUAAACUAUUCAACUCUGCCACCUUGAUGAAUUUGUCACCAUGACAAAGUCAACUUUCAAAUGACAGAGAAUCUGGAGUUCCAUUAUAUGUGGCAACAAAUAUGACAUCAAUUAGAAGAUCUUCAUUCUUCGUCCUGUCAACUAAUGGAUAUGCCAAAGCUGGUGUGAGAUGGAUAGGCUAUGAACCUCGCUGCAGGCCAUAUAUAGCGUAAAAUUUUGAUUUAUUAUUUUUAAUUUGUAUUUAAAUAGAUUUAAUCAUUUUGUUUUUAACUUUUUAUGAGUUUUGAAUGCAUGUUCAGAAUUAAAUUAACUUUGAUUUAUAUUCAUUUCCAUUUGAAAUCUA